GGUUGGUCUUGAACUUGAGAUCUUCCUGCGUCAGCCUCCUGAGUUACUGGGAUCACAGAGCUCCUUCAAAAGAUCAAGAAAAAAGAACAUUCUACUUAAGAUCUUGCUUCCUUUCAGAAGCACAAUGCUAAAAAGUGCUGGACUUUUGAAGAACUAGGCAAGAGUAAAACAAACUUCAAGACGGGAAAGAGAAAAACCGAGGACUUUUUGAGGAAGCAAGUCUCCUGCAAGGGGCUUCUUUGGUCUCUUUUUCUGGUUCCUAUCUCAUGGGUUACCUCCAGGGAGGCUCAGAGACACAGAGUGCUGACUAACUCACAGGAAACCACAACAGAAUUCUCAAAGACAGUGUUCAUGCCAUAGCAAAGCUUUGCUUGACUUACACUAAAAUGGCUUAGAAAAUGACCCCAGAACAAGGGAGAGCAGAGUCACCUGUUCUCACAUCUUAACCUGCCAGGUGAACAUCCUGAAUACAUACAUAGGGAAAGAGGAUAGUCAAGAGACAGACUGUAAACUGAUGUAGUCUAACCUGAAAGGAUGUUUCUAGUAAGAAACUGGCUAUAAAAAAAAUCACCAAAAGAGCAAACAUCAACUCUGUAAAUUAACUACUCCAAACUGCUGUCUGCUAGGUCAAACUGAUGGGCAGAAUUCCUUCCUACUUACCUUUCUGCUCCAGGAUGACAGAUACCACAUCUGGAUGAUUAUAAGCAAUUGCCAUGUGAAGCGGCGUCUGCAGAUACACAUUGUCCAUGGAGCUGGUUAGGGAUGUGACCUCCUUUGGCAAAGGCAGAGCCUCCUCUGUCUGCAAGUUUGGGUUGGCACCUUGCUGCAGGAGCUCUGCUGUGAGGUUGGCCAGGCCAUGCCGGCAAGCUGUGUGCAAUGGGGUUUCUCCCUGAACACAAACAAAUGGCACAAAUCUGA